rnacentral:rRNA from 1 species
UUAGGAAUAUUCGUCAAUGGGGGAAACCCUGAACGAGCAAUGCCGCGUGAGUGAUGAAGGUCUACAUGAUUGUAAAACUCUGUUGUAAAGGAAGAAUAGCUACCAUAGGUAAUGAUGGUAGUGUGACGGUACUUUACCAGAAAGCCCCGGCUAACUACGUGCC